rnacentral:lncRNA from 1 species
UUCGUUAGUGCUAUAGAUCUUCCUCACUCUUAUGUAUUUUAGAAAUUUGUUUUCAUUUCAACAUAACUCCAUAUCACCUUAUGAUACAUUUUUGGUCUGGUGGGUUCUCGAAUGAUAUCUGUGAAAAGUUAUGUAUUGAAGAUAUGCUACAGGUUAUAAUUUUUCCUUCGGAAUAAUUUACAAUCAUAUUUGUAUUUAAUUUUAUGCUAAAAUUAUUUGAUUUUUACUUUUGAUAGGUUGAUCAUUGUGAGGUUUAAUCUCAAAAAAAAGUUCCAUCCAGAUUUUUUCUAACCUUAUGGAUAAAGAACUAAUCCCUUUCGUGGAAUAUUUCUCCCAAUAAAUGUUACUCUCAGAAGUCGA